rnacentral:rRNA from 1 species
UUUAAAGAAAGCGUAACAGCUCACUGGUCUAAAUAAGAGGUUCUGCGGCGAAGAUGUAACGGGGCUAAAGUGAUGCACCGAAGCUUAGGGUGUGACGUAAGUCACGCGGUAGCGGAGCGUUCCGUAAGCCUGUGAAGCGAUCUGGUAAUGGGUCGUGGAGGUAUCGGAAGUGCGAAUGCAGACAUGAGUAGCGAUAAAAAGGGUGAGAUGCCCUUUCGCCGAAAGACCAAGGGUUCCUGCGCAAGGCUAAUCCGCGCAGGGUGAGUCGGCCCCUAAGACGAGCCCGAAGGGGGUAGUCGAUGGGAACACGGUUAAUAUUCCGUGACCUGGUGGUGUGUGACGGAUCUCGUGUGUUGUCUUUCCUUAUUGGAUUGGAAAGGCUUCGAAGAGGUCCCAGGAAAUAGCCCCACCGUAUAGACCGUACCCGAAACCGACACAGGUGGUCAGGUAGAGUAUACCAAGGCGCUUGAGAGAAGUCUCCUGAAGGAACUCGGCAAAUUGCCUCCGUACCUUCGGAAGAAGGAGGCCCUCAUUGUGCGCAAGCAUUUUGAGGGGGCACAGGCCAGGGGGUAGCGACUGUUUAGCAAAAACACAGGGCUCUGCUAAGUCGGCUUCAAGACGACGUAUAGGGCCUGACGCCUGCCCGGUGCCUGAAGGUUAAGUGGAGGGGUGCAAGCUCUGAAAUGAAGCCCAGGUAAACGGCGGCCGUAACAAUAACGGUCCUAAGGUAGCGAAAUUCCUUGUCAGGUAAGUUCUGACCCGCACGAAAGGCGUAACGAUCUGGGCACUGUCUCAGAGAGAGACUCGGUGAAAUAGACAUGUCUGUGAAGAUGCGGACUACCUGCACCAGGACAGAAAGACCCUAUGAAGCUUUACUGUAGCCUGAUAUUGGGUUUGGGCUUUUCUUGCGCAGUAUAGGUGGGAGGCUAUGAAGCUAUCCUUGUGGGGAUAGCUGAGCUAUCAGUGAGAUACCACUCUGGAAAAGCUAAAAUUCUAACUUUAAGCCGUUAUCCGGAUAAAGAACAGUUUCAGGUGGGCAGUUUGACUGGGGCGGUCGCCUCCUAAAAAGUAACGG